AAGUGUGAAAGCUCCAGAUGCCCCACGCCCUCACCAGCCCACGGUGUUGUCAGCCUUAAUAGUGCUGACCAUUCUGUGGUGGGCAACAAGCAUGCCCACAGACAUGACGCGAAGCAGAAAGCUGACCGUGAGAGUGACGAGAGGAGGCCUAUCCCUGCUGCCUUGCCCUGGAGCUGCUCCUCUGGUAGCUUGAAUCCAUUUCUUUCACAUCCAGUCUUCAUCCCUCAGCAACCCAACUGGAGCCACUCAAGACCCAUGAGCCAGAUGGACGACCAUCGUUAUUCUGGGGCAGGCAGCAGCUUCCAAGAAGAUGGCCUUGCAAUUCCAGGUCACGACUGCGUGCUGCCUUCGGAGGAACGACUCACCACAAAUCCAGAUUCUGCUGUGCGUGGCCGUCAAAUGUGAGGCCAUCUGGGGACGUGUCACGGGGACUGGGGUGGACAUAAGUCACCUUUCUAGCUACCUGUUGGAUAACCUUUCUAUAUUUGAUGACAAGUAGUACCUGACUUCCGGACCUGGAGUUUGAAGCUCAGUUUCCAGCUGCCCUGAAACAUGCUUGGGAGACUGACUUGGAAGACAGAACGGCAAGGAAGCGGCGUCUCAGCGUCACUUCCCGCGGGGAGGGGCAGCGUUUGGCGUCUUCUGAGGCUGACUUCUCAGCAGAGGAUCCCUGUGCCUGAGGCCGCGGUGCCCAGAGGUGCCAGGUGGGGCGGGGGAUAUGGUAACUGGGAAACAUAGCCCCGAGCCCAGCUACUGCCCCUCUUAGCUAGGUGGCGAGGAUUCAGUAGUUUGCAGGACUAUGCCUGACACUGUGCCUGGGCGUGGUCUGGGCAGUCUCUUCACAUCAUCCGCGAAGGCAUCUGGGCUUUUUCCUGUCUGUCAGCGGAUGACUCCUUCCUCCGUCGUCCCUCCACGCGUGCGGCCAUCUUUUCAGCAAAGGCAUCUGGGCUUUUUCCCGUCGGUCAGCGGGUGAGUCCUUCCUCCGUUGUCCCUCCACGCGUGCGGCCAUCUUUUCAGCAAAGGCAUCUGGGCUUUUUCCCGUCGGUCAGCGGGUGACUCCUUCCUCCGUUGUCCCUCCAUGCUGCGGCCAUCUUUUCAGCAAAGGCAUCUGGGCUUUUUCCUGUCGGUCAGCGGGUGACUCCUUCCUCCGUCGUCCCUCCAUGCGUGCGGCCAUCUUUUCAGGAAAGGCAUCUGUGCUUUUUCCUGUUGGUCAGCGGGUGACUCCUUCCUCCGUCGUCCCACCAUGCGUGCGGCCAUCUUUUGUUGCGUGCCUACACUGUCGAUGUCAGGCUGGGGACACACAGGACCGACCGAGCAUGGUGAGAUCUAG
rnacentral:lncRNA from 1 species